GGGUUGUGAGGUUAAGCGACUAAGCGUACACGGUGGAUGCCCCGGCAGUCAGAGGCGAUGAAGGACGUGCUAAUCUGCGAUAAGCGUCGGUAAGGUGAUAUGAACCGUUAUAACCGGCGAUUUCCGAAUGGGGAAACCCAGUGUGUUUCGACACACUAUCAUUAACUGAAUCCAUAGGUUAAUGAGGCGAACCGGGGAACUGAAACAUCUAAGUACCCCGAGGAAAAGAAAUCAACCGAGAUUCCCCAGUAGCGGCGAGCGAACGGGGAGCAGCCCAGAGCCUGAAUCAGUGUGUGUGUUAGUGGAAGCGUCUGGAAAGGCGCGCGAUACAGGGUGACAGCCCCGUACAAAAAAUGCACAUGCUGUGAGCUCGAUGAGUAGGGCGGGACACGUGGUAUCCUGUCUGAAUAUGGGGGACCAUCCUCCAAGGCUAAAUACUCCUGACUGACCGAUAGUGAACCAGUACCGUGAGGGAAAGGCGAAAAGAACCCCGGCGAGGGGAGUGAAAAAGAACCUGAAACCGUGUACGUACAAGCAGUGGGAGCACGCUUAGGCGUGUGACUGCGUACCUUUUGUAUAAUGGGUCAGCGACUUAUAUUCUGUAGCAAGGUUAACCGAAUAGGGGAGCCGAAGGGAAACCGAGUCUUAACUGGGCGUUAAGUUGCAGGGUAUAGACCCGAAACCCGGUGAUCUAGCCAUGGGCAGGUUGAAGGUUGGGUAACACUAACUGGAGGACCGAACCGACUAAUGUUGAAAAAUUAGCGGAUGACUUGUGGCUGGGGGUGAAAGGCCAAUCAAACCGGGAGAUAGCUGGUUCUCCCCGAAAGCUAUUUAGGUAGCGCCUCGUGAAUUCAUCUCCGGGGGUAGAGCACUGUUUCGGCAAGGGGGUCAUCCCGACUUACCAACCCGAUGCAAACUGCGAAUACCGGAGAAUGUUAUCACGGGAGACACACGGCGGGUGCUAACGUCCGUCGUGAAGAGGGAAACAACCCAGACCGCCAGCUAAGGUCCCAAAGUCAUGGUUAAGUGGGAAACGAUGUGGGAAGGCCCAGACAGCCGGGAUGUUGGCUUAGAAGCAGCCAUCAUUUAAAGAAAGCGUAAUAGCUCACUGGUCGAGUCGGCCUGCGCGGAAGAUGUAACGGGGCUAAACCAUGCACCGAAGCUGCGGCAGCGACGCUUAUGCGUUGUUGGGUAGGGGAGCGUUCUGUAAGCCUGCGAAGGUGUGCUGUGAGGCAUGCUGGAGGUAUCAGAAGUGCGAAUGCUGACAUAAGUAACGAUAAAGCGGGUGAAAAGCCCGCUCGCCGGAAGACCAAGGGUUCCUGUCCAACGUUAAUCGGGGCAGGGUGAGUCGACCCCUAAGGCGAGGCCGAAAGGCGUAGUCGAUGGAAACAGGUUAAUAUUCCUGUACUUGGUGUUACUGCGAAGGGGGACGGAGAAGGCUAUGUUGGCCGGGCGACGGUUGUCCCGGUUUAAGCGUGUAGGCUGGUUUUCCGGGCAAAUCCGGAAAAUCAAGGCUGAGGCGUGAUGACGAGGCACUACGGUGCUGAAGCAACAAAUGCCCUGCUUCCGGGAAAAGCCUCUAAGCAUCAGGUAACAUCAAAUCGUACCCCAAACCGACACAGGUGGUCAGGUAGAGAAUACCAAGGCGCUUGAGAGAACUCGGGUGAAGGAACUAGGCAAAAUGGUGCCGUAACUUCGGGAGAAGGCACGCUGAUAUGUAGGUGAAGUCCCUCGCGGAUGGAGCUGAAAUCAGUCGAAGAUACCAGCUGGCUGCAACUGUUUAUUAAAAACACAGCACUGUGCAAACACGAAAGUGGACGUAUACGGUGUGACGCCUGCCCGGUGCCGGAAGGUUAAUUGAUGGGGUUAGCGCAAGCGAAGCUCUUGAUCGAAGCCCCGGUAAACGGCGGCCGUAACUAUAACGGUCCUAAGGUAGCGAAAUUCCUUGUCGGGUAAGUUCCGACCUGCACGAAUGGCGUAAUGAUGGCGGGCUGUCUCCACCCGAGACUCAGUGAAAUUGAACUCGCUGUGAAGAUGCAGUGUACCCGCGGCAAGACGGAAAGACCCCGUGAACCUUUACUAUAGCUUGACACUGAACAUUGAGCCUUGAUGUGUAGGAUAGGUGGGAGGCUUUGAAGUGUGGACGCCAGUCUGCAUGGAGCCGACCUUGAAAUACCACCCUUUAAUGUUUGAUGUUCUAACGUGGACCCGUAAUCCGGGUUGCGGACAGUGUCUGGUGGGUAGUUUGACUGGGGCGGUCUCCUCCUAAAGAGUAACGGAGGAGCACGAAGGUUGGCUAAUCCCUGGUCGGACAUCAGGAGGUUAGUGCAAUGGCAUAAGCCAGCUUGACUGCGAGCGUGACGGCGCGAGCAGGUGCGAAAGCAGGUCAUAGUGAUCCGGUGGUUCUGAAUGGAAGGGCCAUCGCUCAACGGAUAAAAGGUACUCCGGGGAUAACAGGCUGAUACCGCCCAAGAGUUCAUAUCGACGGCGGUGUUUGGCACCUCGAUGUCGGCUCAUCACAUCCUGGGGCUGAAGUAGGUCCCAAGGGUAUGGCUGUUCGCCAUUUAAAGUGGUACGCGAGCUGGGUUUAGAACGUCGUGAGACAGUUCGGUCCCUAUCUGCCGUGGGCGCUGGAGAACUGAGGGGGGCUGCUCCUAGUACGAGAGGACCGGAGUGGACGCAUCACUGGUGUUCGGGUUGUCAUGCCAAUGGCACUGCCCGGUAGCUAAAUGCGGAAGAGAUAAGUGCUGAAAGCAUCUAAGCACGAAACUUGCCCCGAGAUGAGUUCUCCCUGACUCCUUGAGAGUCCUGAAGGAACGUUGAAGACGACGACGUUGAUAGGCCGGGUGUGUAAGCGCAGCGAUGCGUUGAGCUAACCGGUACUAAUGAACCGUGAGGCUUAACCUUACAACGCCGAAGCUGUU
rnacentral:rRNA from 1 species